AAAAAAUAUUUACUGAAAUUUUCAAUAUUUUCUUUUUAUUUUAUAUUAUAGCAUUGGAGAAUUUAUCUAAUGAAAAGAAAAUACUAAAAAGCUAACCGAUUCCCAGAGCACUUCUGGCAAGCUGAAACAAUUUUUCUCAAUACUAAAGCAAAAAAUCUGACGAAACAAUAUGGAAUAUCAUGGAGAAGCGUAACUUAGAAGCUUUCAAGCUAUAUUUUCAUUUAAUUGCAAAGGAAUGCAAGUAGCGGCUCAGUGUCUGUAUAUUUACUAAGAAACAACGAGAUGAUCGAAACGUGCUAUUGUUGUUGUCCAACUUUAAUUUCGUGGCUGCAGUCAACUGCUUGCUUGCCUGCUGAAUUCAGUGUGUUUCUUUUUUUCAGUGUUUUUUUCUUGUGUGAAAAGUCGCAUGUUUUGUGAUUAUAAGGGCGCAUGUCUUAAAUCAUAAUUAUUGGUUGGCUAUUGCAAAUCUAAAGGAAGACGUGUGGAUACUACUGUUAGCUGGUGGCUGGAGUUUGUUUAAUCUUUGCGAACGCCGGCAUUAUCAAGGAAGAGCAAACAAAAAAAUGUAAUUUCAAUUUCAUAAAUAAAUGGAAAUUUUCUAAUAUAAAAUAAAAAUUAAUGCUGACACUA